AAAGUUAUCACCGAAAGUUUAAUCAGAUGUGCCCCCGAAAUCCAGGAAGAAUCUACCAAUCGGCACGAGAGGGAAGCCACAAAAUGCCAGCAACGUGUCACCACAAAAACCUAAAGAACGCAGUGAACUAACGCCAGCAAGAACAGAAAGAAAGAAAAAUAAUACCCAAGACAAGACCACCAUGGUUACCACCAGCUACAAGUCGAAAGCAAGGUAAAGGAACCAUUGAUGACGCCAAGAAGACACCAGAAAAACGUCUACCGACAAAGUCAGCACCUACAGAUCCAGCUGUCAAUCCCCCUCCAAGACGCCCAACUACGCGUGUACAAGCAGCACCACAAACAAGUGUUUUACCACCUAUUCCACAGAAUAAAGGCACAGGUAGCCAACAGCAGAGAACUAUUCCAAAGAAAUCUGUGCCAAAGUGGGAUGACUCAGCAACAUUGCCCGUUAUUAAAGGAUUGAGGCAACCAGCUAUUCCAAGAGACAGCCGAAACAACCACAUGGUGUGUGUUGCUUUCCUCACCUUAAGGAUAAGGUAGGUGUCACAAAUUAGUAAUGACAUUCUCUGGGUUUUGUGUGGCUUCUCAAACGAUUUAAUUUUUUU
ensembl:lncRNA